AGAGUUUGAUCAUGGCUCAGGACGAACGCUUGCGGCGUGCCUGAGAAAUGCAAGUCGAACGAGUUUAGAGAGCAAUCUUUAAGCUAGUGGCGAACGGUCGAGUAACACGUAAGCAAUCUGCCCGGGAGCGGGGGAUAAUCCACCGAAAGGUGGGGUAAUACCGCGUAUCUUCUUAAGGGACAUCCUUUACGAAGAAAGAUUUAUCACUCCCGGAGGAGCUUGCGGCCUAUCAGCUAGUCGGUGGGGUCACGGCCUACCGAGGCGACGACGGGUAGCUGGUCUGAGAGGACGGCCAGCCGGACUGGGACUGAGACACGGCCCAGACUCCUACGGGGGGCAGCAAUCAGGAAUCUUGCACAAUGAGCGAAAGCUAGAUGCAGCGACGCCGCGUGGGUGAUGAAGUCUUUCGGGAUGUAAAGCCCUUUUAAACGGGAAGAUGAUGACGGUACCGUUUGAAUAAGCCCCGGCUAACUACGUGCCAGCAGCCGCGGUAAUACGUAGGGGGCGAGCGUUGUCCGGAAUUACUGGGCGUAAAGGGCGCCUAGGCGGUUUUUUAAGUCCGCUGUGAAAGACCGAGGCUCAACCUCGGGAUGUCAGCGGAGACUGGAAGACUGGAGUGUCGGAGAGGAGU
rnacentral:rRNA from 1 species